AGUCGUACGAACCGUUUGGUGCUCGCAUUGGACGGUUAGUGGCGUAAGGGUGAGUAAUGCAUGGGUAACGUACCCCGGACUCGAGGAUAACAGCGGGAGCAAUCCCUUUAGCGAAAGUGCUGCUAAUACUCGAUGAUGUCACCGGAUCGCAUGGUCUGGUGACCGAAGGUGGGGACCUUCGGGCCUGCCGGUCUGGGAGCGACCCAUGUCCUAUCAGCUUGUUGGUAGGGUAACGGCCUACCAAGGCAGCGACGGGUAGCGGGACUGAGAGGUUGGCCCGCCACAUCGGGACUGAGACACUGCCCGGACACCUACGGGUGGCUGCAGUAACGAAUAUUGGGCAAUGGGCGCAAGCCUGACCCAGCAAUGCCGCGUGCAGGAGGAAGCCCUUCGGGGUGUAAACUGCUGUCAGGGGUUAGCAAGCAAAGGGUGUAAACAGCACCCGGCGUCGAGCAGCCCCAGAGGAAGCCUCGACUAACUCUGUGCCAGCGGUCGCGGUAAUACAGAGGAGGCAAGCGUUGUUCGGAAUCACUGGGCUUAAAGCGGGUGUAGGCGGCUUGGCAAGUGUUGUGUGAAAUCCCACGGCUCAACCGUGGAACUGCACGGCAAACUGCCCGGCUUGAGGUCGGUAGAGGUGCCUGGAACUCUUGGUGGAGCGGUGAAAUGCGUAGAUAUCAAGAGGAACGCCGGAGGCGAAAGCGGGGCACUGGGCCGAUUCUGACGCUGAGACCCGAAAGCGUGGGGAGCAAACAGGAUUAGAUACCCUGGUAGUCCACGCCGUAAACGAUGCACACUAGACGUCGAAGUUUCUGACAACAGCGGCGUCGAAGCAAAAGUUCUAAGUGUGCCGCCUGGGGAGUACGGCCGCAAGGCUAAAACUCAAAGGAAUUGACGGGGGCUCACACAAGCGGUGG
rnacentral:rRNA from 1 species